UUGUGCCUGGAUUCCCCUUUGCAAGCAUUCUGGAGUCACAACAUCGGCAUAGAAGGUGGCCAGCCUUUGGUUUUUGCAGUCGUUUGUGGAGUCUUUAUGGAAGAGCAGCGUGGUCAAGAGACCACGGCUGCGUAACCCCGUCUGCAGUGUGUGAGGCCGGAGUGCUGACCCUGGACCUGCCCAGUCAUGCCUUCUCGGUCAGCUGUUCAUCUCAUCUGCUACCACGGGAAAAGAAAUGCCCUGAAGACUGCUGGCCGUGUGUUCAGUGAUUCUCACAGAGCACAGAAAAUGAAACAUCAGAGAAACUGCCCUUAGGCGGGGCUGGCAAAUAUCUCCCCUACUGGGCGCAGGGCAGACUUCACCUCAAGGUCUUCCUCCACACACAUUCCACAGCCCAGCCAGUCCUCCAGGGCGGAACUCAAGAUAAAUCUAUUCACCAUCUCUGUUCUCUUGGGAGUGGGGGAGGAUACGAAGCUGAGGUCUAGCAUCCGGGCCAGGGCUUUCUCGGCCACGGCUCCUGGCCUGGGUGAGGGUGGGAGGGAGCAAUGUGAUGAUCAACACUCCAGUUUCUUGUCCAAGGCUGCCUGUGGCCGAUGUGCUGCCUAUCUGGGGAGAAAAGGGAAACACGUAGGCUUGUCUCGGGUGUUCCUAGAGGAUUUGGGAUGGCCACCCAUGGCUGAAAACUAACUUGGUUCACUAGAGUGUGUGACAUCGGGACCUGAGACCCAACUUACCAAGUGCUAUCUACGUGACUUUACCCCUCAGUGUAUUCAUCUAUGAAAUGGGGAUAAUACUAGCACUGGAGGAUAAAUAAAUCGAUCAACAUGUGUAAAGUGCUUAGAAGGUGCCUGCCAUGCAGGAAGCAAACACUGGGCACUAGCUAUCGCUAUCAUUUCUGCUGUCCUCAAUGAGUGCAACUAGUUGCUGGGCUGGGGUAGCUGAAAGUGACCGGUAGUAGAGGGGGUGAGAACAGAUAAAAGGCCACGACGCAGAGAAGCCAGAGGACAUGCAGGUUGAACUCCAACAGGAGCAGUGGCUGUAGGGGAGAGGCUUGACCCUGGAGCUGGUCAUGAUGUGCAAGUGGGAUGGGCUGGGGGCUCCCGUGUGAGAGCACAGGAGGAGAGGCUGUGUUUCCCAAGCCUGCAAAGGGCUAGAGUAAAAAGUGACCUAGGUAUGCCCAACAAGGCCUGGCGACUUGGCGUUCUCCACAUAUGCAAUUCUCCUAUCAAAGCAGGUUCCCAAACCCUGGUUUCUUCCUGCCUCUCAGCCUAACAUUAUCAUUGCUCCUUCAUCCAUCAGAGAGCCUGGAGUCUCAUCUUUCAGUGACUUAUCAAGGCUAGACUAUUCCUCAGAAUCUCCACUGUGAAUCAGACUACUGUUAAGAUAAACGCUAAUGCUUAAGUCCAAAAUCUUGGACUCAAAGAAGGAGUCAACAUGGUAAGAGGCCCUUCUGAUGCAUCAUCCCAGAAACUUCGUCUGACACCCUCCACCACGGGUCCUCCACACUGGAGGGGAUGCCUGGACAAUUGUGCACACAGAAACAACAUUUGUUCUCACUGGUUUGCUCUGCAGUCCCAGAAGCCCACCAAACGGAGUGGGAAAAAAAGACAUCUUGGGGCAAAAGACAAAAGUGCGAUUCGAUACACUGAUCUCAUGUAAGCAUAGUUCUAAUUAGCUAAAUCGUUCCUUCAGCAAUAGUAAAGAGAGACUGCAACAGAUCUGAUACUCCAAUAGGCUUUGUCCAAUCUGGCAGAGUGGAUUCUUUAUCUGAAAUCAUCCACAACAACCACUUUCAGAACGGGGCCAAUUUUCAGACCUAAAUUACCUCUGGCUCCACAGUAGCAUCUGCCCAUGAAAUCAGUUUCUACCAAAAGCUUAAACUCUCCAGCAGCAAUUAUCUGGAACAGCCUCAAAACUGCAUUUUUGCCAUUUGAGACUGUUUUCCACAAUUGCCAGCCAUCUUGCCUGUUAGCAUGCCUGUGGGAAGGACGGGCUGGCAGUAUGGCGUUGAUUCCCUAUUUGAAGUUGUUGUCCUUGAAUCCUUUAUGACCAUCAGACAUAACACCCAGUGAAAAUGACGCCACCUGCAUUUAGAAUUAUUCAAAACCUGCCACCUCACAGAGGAAAAUUCAGCCCACCCUCAGGGAUGCAGGUCUUGACUCUGUUCUGGCUGAACUGUUAACAAUUCUCCUUUGCAAACUCCCAGAAGGAGACUUGAUGAUCUCUCCCACAUAGCACUUAAUGGGGAAGCAAAAACGAUUUUCAACUGAGGGAAUGUUUUUGCAAAGUGGAAAUCAAAUCCAUUUGUUAAUCUUCAAAAACUCUGGGCUGUGCAGAUUCUCAGGAAGACACUAAGCAUAUGGAUCACAACAGCGAUGGACCCUCAGCAAAUGGAGCCUGACAACUCCAGAACCAAGCACUUGCCUGGGGGAACUCCUCCCAGCAAACACUUCUCAAAUGGCAAAUCUGGGUCCUGUUAGCUAUGCUGGCUGUGAUCUACUGGUGAAUGAAUGCCUAUCACCAAUAGUUAUUACAACAUCAGCCUUCUCUA